AGAUUUCCUGGUGAACCUGCCUCUGUCUGAGAGGGUGUCUCACCGAACGGUAGCUAAAACCUCACCAGAACCGCGCGGAAGUGAGAAGUCGCGGCCAAAGGCGCCCGCAGAAGCCUCCUCUCUGGGCCGGACCCCAGCCCGAGCGGCCGAAAGGAGCCCCCCGCCCGGAUCACAGAAGUUUACAAGGAAAGGGGAAAUGUCUGAAAUGGAGAUUGCACAAUCCUGUCUUGAAGCAGAAGACUCAGCUAGAGCACAUCUGGAAACACCUGGCACUCCUCAAUAGAAUUCAAAUGCUAUUUUAAAAGAUGUAAAAUCUGAGCUGCAACACUGAACAAAAGCUGUACUUGCCAGCCAGCAAAGAUGCUACCACUCUGCACAACAGAUAAAACCCAUACAUAUAGGGAAGUCAAAAGAGUCUUUAAGCUACAGUGUUUGAGAGGCUGUUUGUCUCUGAUGGAAAAUUAAGAAAAUGAGUCCAUUUCUAAGAAGAUGUGGUUCGAACAUACAGAGCUACAUAAUAUGAGUAAAAUAGGACCUAACAGUAGUGUUCUCCAGCAUUGCUCUGCCUUUCCUUUUCUGGAUGUAACAACAUUACUAAGAAAGGAAGAAAAAGCAAAAAUCUGCUCUCGGGGAGAUUCCAGAAUGUUGGAAAGCCCCAAAUGGAAGUCUCUGCUUUGGUUACAGGACAUAAGGUUUAAUAAAUAAAAAGAUGCUCAUCUGGGAUGCUGCACCAAUUAUCAUGUACUAAAUAAGGUUACCUACUUCACUCUCCAGGUAGAAAUGUCUAUCAUAAGCAUGUGCCACAGAAGGUCUCUCAAGUAUCAUUAUUGGCUGUGUUGAAUUUUGUUUUUAGUUCUCUUUUAUAAGGUCUGUAGUCUUACUUUCAGUGAGGAAGUGUUUUCUCAGGUUCUCAAGAAAGUAACAAAAUGCCAGCAUUGUCAAGGUCACCAUUGCCACUGAAUUAUCUUACUGUCUGAUUAUUCCAUCUUCCUCUGCAUCAUAUUAGCCUGAUGACUACAUUCUAAUUAUUUAAAGCGUUAUGUAAAUCAAAGCAGUAAAUGUAAUUUCUAGUCUUACUAGAUAUCAUGUACAUUAGGUCGAAUAACUCUAGAAAUGUCGUCAUAAUCAUGUCAUGCCUAAUGAUGACCUACUCAGCCCCUGCCAACAUCAUUCAAUUACUCAUUUCAGUAUUGAUUUUUCUCAUGCCUCUCUUCGUGGCAUUUAAACAGCCCUCACAUCUCCCCUUUUACUGAGGUGUAAUGUUGUAUAAUGACAGAGAUGCUUUGCUUCCCAGAUUCAUAAUGUUACACUCUGUUUCAAAUCCUUUUGGAGACAAAUUGGGGAAUCAAUAUAUAAAUAAUGACACACUUAUUUUUAAUUAAAAUCACUGCUUUCACAGAAAUGGUAUAUUAAAAUUAUUUUUGCUAAAAAAAUUUUAAAUACCUAUGUACGAUAAAAAGACUGCCAAUCCUUGGGAUCAAGAAUAUAAUUUGCCCCAAAUAACUUUUCUGUAAAAGUAGAAUUCUUAAUGGAAAAUAGAUUAAUACAUAUAAUUUCAAGAUCUAACCUUAAAAAUGGAAAUAAUGUGUCCAUUUUUAAAAAUAAAUCAUAUUUACAUACACUGUGUUUAUGAGAGUUGUUUUGGAAUGAAACUUCUUUGCAUUUGAGAUCAAAUUCUUUUAUUCACAAGAAUUACAUUAUCUUUUUCAGCUGAAUGUUAUGUUAUACUCUUCCAAAAUCUAUUUUCCCUGCACUCAAGUAGCGGUAAAUAUUCUUUUUUUUUUCUGGAAAUUGAUAGUCUAAUUUUCUCCUGCCUCUCUUUGGCACACCCUCAUUUUGCAUGAGAUAUGCUCCUUAAUAAAAUUUCUACUCAAUAUUACAGAAACUUCCAGAAAUGGCAUCUAAAAUAUUACACUGGCCCGUUUAACUUCAC
rnacentral:lncRNA from 1 species